rnacentral:rRNA from 1 species
CUACGGGCUGCUGCAGUGGGGAAUAUUGCACAAUGGGCGCAAGCCUGAUGCAGCCAUGCCGCGUGUAUGAAGAAGGCCUUCGGGUUGUAAAGUACUUUCAGCGGGGAGGAAGGGAGUAAAGUUAAUACCUUUGCUCAUUGACGUUACCCGCAGAAGAAGCACCGGCUAACUCCGUGCCAGCAGCCGCGGUAAUACGGAGGGUGCAAGCGUUAAUCGGAAUUACUGGACGUAAAGCGCACGCAGGCGGUUUGUUAAGUCAGAUGUGAAAUCCCCGGGCUCAACCUGGGAACUGCAUCUGAUACUGGCAAGCUUGAGUCUCGUAGAGGGGGGUAGAAUUCCAGGUGUAGCGGUGAAAUGCGUAGAGACCUGGAGGAAUACCGGUGGCGAAGGCGGCCCCCUGGACGAAGACUGACGCUCAGGUGCGAAAGCGUGGGGAGCAAACAGGAUUAGAUACCCCGGUAGUC